rnacentral:tRNA from 3 species
GACUCCAUAGCUCAGCUGGAUAGAGCAUCCGCCUUCUAAGCGGACGGUCGUAGGUUCGAAUCCUACUGGAGUCGCCA